UACGUACUGGGCGAACGUUAUUCGGAAUCACUGGGCUUAAAGGGUGCGUAGGCGGCUUUCCAGGUCUGAUGUGAAAUCUCACGGCUCAACCGUGAAAUUGCGUUGGAAACCGGAAAGCUUAAGUAUGCUAGGGGUGUGUGGAACUUCCGGUGGAGCGGUGAAAUGUGUUGAUAUCGGAAGGAACGCCGGUGGCGAAAGUGACACACUGGGGCAUAACUGACGCUGAGGCACGAAGGCUAGGGUAGCGAACGGG
rnacentral:misc_RNA from 1 species